AGUGAACGCUGGCGGUAGGCCUAACACAUGUAAGUCGAACGGCAGCACAGUAAGAGCUUGCUCUUACGGGUGGCGAGUGGCGGACGGGUGAGGAAUACAUCGGAAUCUACUUUUUCGUGGGGGAUAACGUAGGGAAACUUACGCUAAUACCGCAUACGACCUACGGGUGAAAGCAGGGGAUCUUCGGACCUUGCGCGAUUGAAUGAGCCGAUGUCGGAUUAGCUAGUUGGCGGGGUAAAGGCCCACCAAGGCGACGAUCCGUAGCUGGUCUGAGAGGAUGAUCAGCCAACCGGGAACUGAGAAACGGCCCAGACUCCUACGGGGGGCAGAGGGGGGGAAUAUUGGAAAAGGGGCGAAAGCCUGAUCCAGCCAUACCGGGUGGGUGAAGAAGGCCUUCGGGUUGUAAACCCUUUUUUUUGGGAAAAAAAAGCAGCAGGUUAACACCCCGCUGUUCUGACGGUACCCAAAGAAUAAGCACCGGCUAACUUCGU
rnacentral:rRNA from 1 species